CCUUACCGAACAGGUUGGGUACCUUAGAUUGACUUCUGUUGACAAGAAGUACGACGUCGAGAAGUGUAUGUUUGCCUGUAAUCUUAGGGAUAUCCAGGAUGCGGGUAUUGCACCUUGUCCAGCCGCUUUGCUUUGUCUUUGUGAUUUUUACUGGGAUUAUGCUAACCUGUUUUGAUUUUAUAUUUUUUGCAGCUUCUGACUCCAAGAUGGACCAAAUCAAGCCUCCCAAGAACCUCAUAUUGUCCCGAGAGAGUAUGGAUGCGGCUUUGGACGUC
rnacentral:lncRNA from 1 species